rnacentral:rRNA from 1 species
UACGUAGGGGGCAAGCGUUGUCCGGAAUCAUUGGGCGUAAAGAGCGCGUAGGCGGUCCAGUAAGUCCGCUCUGAAAGUCCGGGGCUCAACCCCGGGAGGCGGGCGGAUACUGCUGGACUAGAGUCCGGAAGAGGCGAGUGGAAUUCCUGGUGUAGCGGUGAAAUGCGCAGAUAUCAGGAAGAACACCCGUGGCUAAGGCGGCUCUCUAGUACGGUACUGACGCUGAGACGCGAAAGCGUGGGGAGCGAACAGG